rnacentral:rRNA from 1 species
AUUGCCUAGUAACGGCGAGUGAAGCGGCAAGAGCUCAAAUUUGAAAGCUGGCCCCCUCGGGGUCCGCAUUGUAAUUUGUAGAGGAUGCUUCGGGAGCGGUCCCCAUCUAAGUGCCCUGGAACGGGCCGUCAUAGAGGGUGAGAAUCCCGUAUGGGAUGGGGUGCCCGCGCCCGUGUGAAGCUCCUUCGACGAGUCGAGUUGUUUGGGAAUGCAGCUCUAAUUGGGUGGUAAAUUUCAUCUAAAGCUAAAUAUUGGCCGGAGACCGAUAGCGCACAAGUAGAGUGAUCGAAAGAUGAAAAGCACUUUGAAAAGAGAGUUAAACAGCACGUGAAAUUGUUGAAAGGGAAGCGCUUGCGAUCAGACUCGCUCGCGGGGUUCAGCCGGCCUUCNGGCCGGUGUACUUCCCCGCGGGCGGGCCAGCGUCGGUUUGGGCGGCCGGUCAAAGGCCCCUGGAAUGUAACGCCUCUCGGGGCGUCUUAUAGCCAGGGGUGCCAUGCGGCCUGCCCGGACCGAGGAACGCGCUUCGGCUCGGACGCUGGCAUAAUGGUCGUAAGCGACCCGUCUUGAAACACGGACCAAGGAGUCUAACAUCUACGCGAGUGUUCGGGUGUCAAACCCGUGCGCGCAGUGAAAGCGAACGGAGGUGGGAACCCCUCGGGGUGCACCAUCGACCGAUCCUGAAGUCUUCGGAUGGAUUUGAGUAAGAGCGUAGCUGUUGGGACCCGAAAGAUGGUGAACUAUGCCUGAAUAGGGCGAAGCCAGAGGAAACUCUGGUGGAGGCUCGCAGCGGCUCUGACGUGCAAAUCGAUCGUCAAAUUUGGGUAUAGGGGCGAAAGACUAAUCGUAACAUCUAGUAGCUGGUUCCUGCCGA